GUGUUGAAACACCGGUUCUCGUACGAUCACCGAAGUUAAGCAACGUCGAGCCUGGUCAGAGCUUAGAUGAGCGACCUCUUGGGAAUACCAGCU